rnacentral:lncRNA from 1 species
GGGUUGCAAGAUAAAUCCCAAGUAGCCAUACACAAAGGUGUAAAUAAGAGAAACUCUCAAUUAACAAUAAUAUUGUUUCCUUGAAAAUAAUAAAAUCCAUCCCUAUAUAUAAAGGUAAAAACCUAUCCCAAAUAGCAUGAGAUUCGAAUUCUACUUUUAUGGAAAUAAAUAAAUCUAGGAAACUUUAAAGUAGGAAACUUUAAACUAGGUAACUUUUAAACUAGGAAACUUUAAACUUGGAAAGUAAAAGUUUCCGAAUUUAAUCAAACCCAUAUGGGCUUUUUUUGGGGGGCUUGAACUUGAAUCAUGAAAUAUGGGUAGCGUUUAUACCAUACUUCUCCACAAUUCUUGGACUCAUUCUUGAGCUUUUCUUCCAUCAUAAGCAUUUUCUUGAUUCACAUUGAAGCCUGAUAAUCUUAAUGUAAGUUGGUCAAUCUGGAUGCUAUCACUUAUGCACGUCUUUGACAACACUGGUGCGCUCACAAAUUUCAAAUCCUGG